AAGUCGUAACAAGGUUUCCGUAGGUGAACCUGCGGAAGGAUCAUUAACACGUAUCCAACGUUAAAACAACCCUGUGAACCUUCAAUCUUGCUCGCGUGGCCAUGAAAGGAGCAAUCCCUGGUAAAUCAUUGUCGACCAGAUUUUUGAGUCCGGGACCUCUGCCGAUGAGAGUUACGCUCGUAGCGAUGCAAGCGACCUCCCAAGCAAGCGUCUUUGAUUGUGUAAGGGUCCCUUAAUCACCACACUGUAACGCCGACAGGUCGCAAUAAUUCCGCUGACCACAAAAAACCGAACAACUGUUAACAAUGGAUAUCUUGGUUCUC
rnacentral:misc_RNA from 1 species